AACGCCGCGUGAGUGAAGAAGGCCUUCGGGUUGUAAAGCUCUUUCGUCUGGGAAGAAAGGCCUGGUGCUAAUACCGCCGGGUCUUGACGUUACCCGGAGAAGAAGCCCCGGCUUACUCCGUGCCAGCAGCCGCGGUAAUUA
rnacentral:rRNA from 1 species